UGGAUCCAGACUUUGAUUCUGGCUCAGGAUGAACGCUAGCUACAGGCUUAACACAUGCAAGUCGAGGGGAAACGACAUCGAAAGCUUGCUUUUGAUGGGCGUCGACCGGCGCACGGGUGAGUAACGCGUAUCCAACCUGCCCACCACUUGGGGAUAACCUUGCGAAAGUAAGACUAAUACCCAAUGAUAUCUCUAGAAGACAUCUGAAGGAGAUUAAAGAUUUAUCGGUGAUGGAUGGGGAUGCGUCUGAUUAGCUUGUUGGCGGGGUAACGGCCCACCAAGGCGACGAUCAGUAGGGGUUCUGAGAGGAAGGUCCCCCACAUUGGAACUGAGACACGGUCCAAACUCCUACGGGAGGCAGCAGUGAGGAAUAUUGGUCAAUGGACGAGAGUCUGAACCAGCCAAGUAGCGUGCAGGAUGACGGCCCUAUGGGUUGUAAACUGCUUUUAUAAGGGAAUAAAGUGAGUCUCGUGAGACUUUUUGCAUGUACCUUAUGAAUAA
rnacentral:rRNA from 1 species